rnacentral:misc_RNA from 1 species
AGCCCUUGACAUCCCGGUCGCGGGCACGAGAGAUCGUGUCCUUCAGUUCGGCUGGACCGGUGACAGGUGCUGCAUGGCUGUCGUCAGCUCGUGUCGUGAGAUGUUGGGUUAAGUCCCGCAACGAGCGCAACCCUCGCCCCUAGUUGCCAGCCUUAAGUUGGGCACUCUAGGGGGACUGCCGGUGAUAAGCCGAGAGGAAGGUGGGGAUGACGUCGUAUCUCACUG